rfam:Myotis brandtii contig298210, whole genome shotgun sequence.
CAGGGUGAGGCUUCAUAGUUAAAAGCAUGGAUUCUGGAGCCAGACUGUCUGGGUUUGAAUCCCAGCUCCUUGA